rnacentral:rRNA from 1 species
GACGAACGUUGGCGGCGUGCUUAAUACAUGCAAGUCAACUGAAGCAGUGGUAGCAAUAUCGCUGUGGAGGUGGCGCACGGGUGAGUAACACGUAGGUAAUCUGCCUUCAGGUCUGGCAUAACUCCGGGAAACCGGGGCUAAUAGCAGAUGAUGCAGCGGCCCGACAUCGAGACAGUUGUUAAAGCUAUGGCGCCUGAAGAUGAGCCUGCGUCUGAUUAGCUAGUUGGCGGGGUAACGGCCCACCAAGGCAACGAUCAGUAGCUGGUCUGAGAGGAUGAUCAGCCACACUGGAACUGAGACACGGUCCAGACUCCUACGGGAGGCAGCAGUAAGGAAUAUUGCUCAAUGGGAGAAAUCCUGAAGCAGCAACGCCGCGUGAGGGACGAAGGGCCUUUGCUUGUAAACCUCUGUAGUGAGAGAAAAAAAUCCCAAUCUUUGGGACAUGAUGGUAUCUCAAAAGUAAGCCCCGGCUAACUACGUG